rnacentral:rRNA from 1 species
AUUGAACGCUGGCGGCAGGCCUAACACAUGCAAGUCGAACGGUAACAGGAAACAGCUUGCUGUUUCGCUGACGAGUGGCGGACGGGUGAGUAAUGUCUGGGAAACUGCCUGAUGGAGGGGGAUAACUACUGGAAACGGUAGCUAAUACCGCAUAACGUCGCAAGACCAAAGAGGGGGACCUUCGGGCCUCUUGGCAUCGGAUGGGCCCAGAUGGGAUUAGCUUGGAGGUGGGGUAACGGCUCACCUAGGGGACGAUCCCUAGCUGGUCUGAGAGGAUGACCAGCCACACUGGAACUGAGACACGGUCCAGACUCCUACGGGAGGCAGCAGUGGGGAAUAUUGCACAAUGGGCGCAAGCCUGAUGCAGCCAUGCCGCGUGUAUGAAGAAGGCCUUCGGGUUGUAAAGUACUUUCAGCGGGGAGGAAGGGAGUAAAGUUAAUACCUUUGCUCAUUGACGUUACCCGCAGAAGAAGCACCGGCUAACUCCGUGCCAGCCGCCGCAGUAA